rnacentral:rRNA from 1 species
UACGUAGGGGGCAAGCGUUGUCCGGAAUCAUUGGGCGUAAAGCGCGCGUAGGCGGCCCGGCAAGUCCGCUGUGAAAGUCCAGGGCUCAACCCUGGGAUGCCGGUGGAUACUGUCGGGCUCGAGUCCGGAAGAGGCGAGUGGAAUUCCUGGUGUAGCGGUGAAAUGCGCAGAUAUCAGGAGGAACACCCGUGGCGAAAGCGGCUCUCUGGGACGGUGCUGACGCUGAGACGCGAAAGCGUGGGGAGCAAACAGG